CUACGUUGCGACUAUUUUGCGCUUGGAUAUGGGAAUAGAUACACAAUUUAAAACCCUUAUCAAGAACAAUUGGAGGGCAAGUCUGGGGGCCGCAGCCGCGGGAAUUCCCGCUCCCAUAGCGUAUAUUAAAGUUGUUGCAGGUAAAAAACCCCGAAUUGGAAUUUGGGGCGGGAUUCCUGGGCCGCCUCUUAUGGUCUGACCUGGCAGUGGGGCCCUUUUCCUGCUAGGUUGUGAUUCUUUGUAUGGUUGGCUGGGGCUAUCUCUGACUAUUACUUAGAGUAUAUUACACUGGAUUAUUCUUGUAUACUUUAGUGUAAUAUAAAAAGAAAAGAUUGAGCUUAUAUUUUGGUGUUUUUAGAACAAUUUUAUAAUUAAUAGGGAUAAUUUGGGGCAUUAAUAUUUCCAGGAUUAAUGCACGGCUGGAGGUA
rnacentral:rRNA from 1 species